rnacentral:rRNA from 1 species
UACGGAGGGGGGCUAGCGUUGUCCGGAUUUAUUGGGCGUAAAGAGCUCGUAGGCGGCUUUGUCAGUCGGGUGUGAAACCUCCCAGGCUCAACCUGGAGCCGCCACCCGAUACUGCAAUAGCUAGAGUCCGGUAGGGGGAGCCAUGGAACUCCUGGUGUAGCGGUGAAAUGCGCAGAUAUCAGGAAGAACACCAGUGGCGAAGGCGGUGCUCUGGGCCGGAACUGACGCUGAGGAGCGAAAGCGUGGGGAGCAAACAGG